UACGAAGGGGGCUAGCGUUGCUCGGAAUCACUGGGCGUAAAGCGCACGUAGGCGGAUCUUUAAGUCGGUGGUGAAAUCCUGGAGCUCAACUCCAGAACUGCCUUCGAUACUGAGGGUCUCGAGUCCGGGAGAGGUGAGUGGAACUGCGAGUGUAGAGGUGAAAUUCGUAGAUAUUCGCAAGAACACCAGUGGCGAAGGCGGCUCACUGGCCCGGUACUGACGCUGAGGUGCGAAAGCGUGGGGAGCAAACAGG
rnacentral:rRNA from 1 species